CCUCCGAGUAGGCCUCCCUGAAGCCUGAACUCGGCAGGCCCCAAGGAAGCCAGGAAGAAGAAGGCAGGCAGAGUUCUCUGCAGCAGCAGACCCUCUGCCCAGAACAUCCAGCACAGCUUUUGCCAGAUGAACUGAUGAGCCAGCAACGAGGUGUUGAUGCUUUGGCAGACAAAUGGAAGAUGAGAAAAUGGCACCCCCAACUGCCGAUUUCAACGGAAGUACAGAGCACAUGCAGAACAGGAGCUAGUCAAUCUACAUGUGAGGUCCCUGCACAGGCGCAGAACUCAUUCUUUAUUAAUGCAAUGGAUCACGAUCCAGAUCAUUUACUUAUCUUAAGCAGUCGUGACCAAAAAGAACCUGAUCUAACCUACAGAUCACUUUUAUAGCUGACUACAUAAAACCUUUUGGACAUUGUUAGCAUGUGUCCAAAUAAACAUUUAGGUAAAAAUGUUAGCACAAAAUAUAAUCUGAGGGGCUUAAUAAAUACUGUAUGCUAA